AUCGUGAACAAUAUCAUAAUCAUGGUUACAAAUAAUUAAGAGUGUGCCACGAAGAAAAUAUAGCAACAGUGAAAUAAGAAAGGAGGAGAUAGUCCGAAUGAAGUGGCAUCAAUCGAAGGUUUAACAUGAGAUUAACGUUAUGCUGACAACAUCGACAAAUUGAUGAGAGAUAGAGUUGAGAAAAAAAA